rnacentral:rRNA from 1 species
AAGCAUAUCAAUAAGCGGAGGAAAAGAAACUAACAAGGAUUCCCNAGUAACGGCGAGUGAAGCGGGAUGAGCUCAAAUUUGUAAUCUGGCGGCCUCUGGUCGUCCGAGUUGUAGUCUGGAGAAGCGUUUUCCGCGUCGGACCGUGUACAAGUCCCUUGGAACAGGGCGUCGUAGAGGGUGAGAAUCCCGUCUUUGACACGGACUGCCGAUGCUUUGUGAUGCGCUCUCGAAGAGUCGAGUUGUUUGGGAAUGCAGCUCAAAACGGGUGGUAAAUUCCAUCUAAAGCUAAAUAUGGGCGAAAGACCGAUAGCGAACAAGUACCGUGAGGGAAAGAUGAAAAGCACUUUGGAAAGAGAGUUAAACAGUACGUGAAAUUGUUGAAAGGGAAACGCUUGAAGUCAGUCGCGUCUCCUGGGACUCAGCCUUGCUUCUGCUUGGUGUACUUCCUGGGACGACGGGCCAGCAUCGAUUUUGAUCGUCGGAGAAAGGCCUUGGGAACGUGGCACCUUUGGGUGUGUUAUAGCCCUUGGUCGUAUGCGACGGUUGGGAUUGAGGACCGCAGCACGCCUUUUUGGCCGGGGUUCGCCCACGUACGUGCUUAGGAUGCUGGCGUAAUGGCUUUAAGCGACCCGUCUUGAAACACGGACCAAGGAGUCUAACAUGCCUGCGAGUGUUUGGGUGGUAAACCCGGACGCGAAAUGAAAGUGAAAAGUUGGGACCUCUGUCGUGGAGGGCACCGACGCCCGGACCAGACCUUCUGUGACGGUUCCGAGGUAGAGCAUGCAUGCUGGGACCCGAAAGAUGGUGAACUAUGCUUGAGUAGGGUGAAGCCAGAGGAAACUCUGGUGGAGGCUCGUAGCGAUUCUGACGUGCAAAUCGAUCGUCGAACUUGAGUAUAGGGGCGAAAGACUAAUCGAACCAUCUAGUAGCUGGUUCCU